rnacentral:rRNA from 1 species
GGCAGGCUUAGCACAUGCAAGUCGAGCGGUAGCAGAUCUAGCUUGCUAGAUGCUGACGAGCGGCGGACGGGUGAGUAACGCGUAGGAACCUGCCCAGUAGUGGGGGAUAGCCCGGGGAAACUCGGAUUAAUACCGCAUACGCUCUACGGAGGAAAGAGGGGGCUUCGGGCUCUCGCUAUUGGAUGGGCCUGCGUGAGAUUAGCUAGUUGGUGAGGUAAUGGCUCACCAAGGCGACGAUCUCUAGCUGGUCUGAGAGGAUGAUCAGCCACACUGGGACUGAGACACGGCCCAGACUCCUACGGGAGGCAGCAGUGGGGAAUAUUGCACAAUGGGCGCAAGCCUGAUGCAGCCAUGCCGCGUGUGUGAAGAAGGCUUUCGGGUUGUAAAGCACUUUCAGUGGGGAGGAAGGCCUCGUAGUUAAUAGCUGCGAGGAUUGACGUUACCCACAGAAGAAGCACCGGCUAACUCCGUG